ACUCCUACGGGAGGCAGCAGUGGGAAUAUUGCACAAUGGGAAGCCAUCGAUGCAGCCAUGCCGCGCUGUGUGAAGAAGGCCAAUUCGGGCUUGGUUAAAGACACUUUUCAGUCGUGAGGAAGGUAGUGUAGUUAAUAGCUGCAUUAUUUGACGUUAGCGACAGAAGAAGCACCGGCUAACUCCGUGCCAGCAGCCGCGGUAAUACGGAGGGUGCGAGCGUUAAUCGGAAUUACUGGGCGUAAAGCGCAUGCAGGUGGUUUGUUAAGUCAGAUGUGAAAGCCCGGGGCUCAAGCCUCGGAAUUGCAUUUGAAACUGGACAGACUAGAGUACUGUAGAGGGGGUGAGAAUGUCCGAGGUGUCAGGCGGUGAAAUGCAGUAGAGAU
rnacentral:rRNA from 1 species